rnacentral:lncRNA from 1 species
GUUAAGGCCCUCAAAAUUGUGUUUUUCUGGUAUAAACAUGAACCGGACAUAAUUCAGUCCGUCGAUUUGUUUUUCGAGUUUGAGGGCCUUAACGAUUACCAAAUUGGCUGAAAUUUUGCAGAGAUGAUCCACACAAUAUUAUCUAGAUACUAGACGGUGGAGAUGAAGAAAUUCGAUCAAAAAGUGGUGCAAAAAUAGAAAUCUGCACCAAAACUUUGAUGCGGAAGUCUGCAGCUGAGAAAAAUCGUUUGUGUAUAUACAUAUAUAUAUGUAUGCAAUCUGAAUUAAGGCGUUUAUUAAAAAAAAGAAAAAAAGAAGCUGAUUUAAGGCACCCUAUACGUAAUGUGGCCAAUUAGGCUACCACGGAAAUAUUAACGAAUUGGUAACAGUCAAAAAUCUGUCAUGGAUCAAGAAUAUAUAUGAAACAAUUUAAGCAAUUAUAUGAACUAGAGCUGUCAGACAUAGAUGAUCCAAGCAAAAUGUUAAGAGUCAUUAUUUGCUGAUGCAGGCUAUAUAUGUAUUCUAAUUUAAAAGCUGGAAGUUUACUUGAGAUAUUAAUUCUUAAGUGAAUUCAAAGGCCUUUUAUUUGAAGAAGGUUCACAUCUGCAAGAUUUUGUUGCUAGUUAGCUGCAAUUGACAAAAUUUGAGUCGCAUCAAGAAUCCCUCAAAUUCGUUAAUAAUAACCCUUGCUUUGUUCUCCACCUGGUUCUUUACUGAACUUUUUGUAAGCGUACACAAUUCAAACAUUCUAGCUAGUUACAACUUACAAAACCUCUUCCCAUGUAUAACACAAAUUAUGACAUGCUUUAUUUGCUUCACCGUUGAGGCCAGGGUUGCAUACUUAGUUAAUAUAGAUUCAUGCGUUGUCUCCCUCACAUCAACCUGGUUUAUGAUCGACUUUCUUUUUUACCUCUUUAGAAUCAAUGAUUCGGGUUAUACAUUCACCAUCUAAAACUUCAAUAUGCAGAAAAUGUGUCCACACUGUAUCCUAUUAGACUCAAAUUGCACAAAGGAAUAUGAAUAUAGCUUCGCUAAAGACAUGUACUGCCCCUGUCCAACGCGGACGUGGUAUGUCAUACUGUGACAAGUAAAACAUGAAGUUGUUUAAGCCCUCAAACCGAAGUCUAAUUGAAACAAAAAAUAUGGACUCCAACAAUUAAUAUCUAUCAUUUUAUGGCCACAAAUAUAUCAUCUGUGAAGGUAUUGAAUAUCCAUUCAUCAAUACCUUCAAUUUUCCACAUAGUUUUUUGAUUGAUUUGAAAUUUUCGAAAACAUAAUGAUUUCUCAAAAAGUCCAAUACUUGUAUCGAAUCUGGGAGGAAAUUCAAACAACCUCCUAGACCUUUCAAUACGUUUCAUCAACUUAGAAAAUCCAUCCCCUCACAUCGUUGCGUGCAUCACAUCCUCUCUGUAAAAUUGGCUCUUGAGAAAGGCCUCCGGUCAACUGUCACGCUUGUCAAAUAAUGAUGUGAUCCAAUUAUUGUUCUCCAACCCAUACUGUGCCACCAUAUUAGCCCACACCUCCUCCCACUCAUCAAUCAUAUAUGUAACUUCCCAACAACUGUUUACACUUUUUCAUUCUUCACAUUUUGAUCUACAUUACUCCCAAUGUGCCAAGAACAUAGCAUGUGCCCCUGUCUUAGGCAUGUGUUUUUGCAAGAUAGGCCGAUCACUUCAUCAACAAAGGAAUUUCUUAAUCACCUAAGCAAUCAUUUCCUCAUUCUCAUAAGCAACCACAACACAUACAUACAAAUAAAACAGUGCACUCAUUUCCUCAUUCUCAAAAGCAACCACAACACAUACAUGCAAAUAAAAUAGUGCACUCGUGGUUGUUGAAACCAACAAAUAAAAUCAUUAGACAACAAUGUAUAUUAAUUCGUCUUUUAAGUGCUAUCUAUUAUCACAACAUCACCGAAGGCAUUGUAGUCAAGUAGGGACUCAUGGUUCAUCCAUAAAAAAAUUUAGCUAGCCUCCCAAACCGAUCAGGAGUAUAUCCAAAUUUAGCUAGCCUCCCAAACCGUUUCCCCUUCCUUUCAUUCUGCAUCGUCAAUAUGUGAAUUUGACUCUCUAAUUUUAUCCAAGUUGCUGUACAAAUUUGUCACAUGAAUUCGAAAAACUAGGUCCACUUGCUUGAUGAGAUAGAAACUCAUAUGCAACACAAGUCGACACCUAGGCUA